GCACCACCUUUCUCUUCAUUUCCUGUACUACCCUUUUGGAACCUCCUGGAAUAAACUUGAAAAGUACUUUGGUCCUGCUGCUGUGGUUGAGCCUCGUCUCUAAGAUUGUCGCCCCCUAAAGAAGUAGCCUUGUCCCCAAGGCUAAAAUAAGGAAAUUGCCCCAGAAAAUUCCCUUCAUCAACCUAGGUGGCUUCCUCUUUAGUUUGACCAUGCCAAUGCACUAAAAGUUGUCUAAU
rnacentral:misc_RNA from 1 species